AAAUAAAUUCUGUGUUCUUACAUUAUAUUAUAUAAUUAAUUUUUCAAUUAUUAAAUUAUAUUUUUUUUUAAUGAAAAAUAUAAAAAUAAAAUUAAAAUAACUACUUGACAAAAGCAAAAAGUUAUUUUAUGCAAAUAAUAGGAAAAUUAAAGGAAUAAAAUAAAAUAGCUAUUUUUAUUAAAAAAAGGAAAUAUUCUGCUAUAGGAUUCUAUUUAUUUUGAUUAGGUAGUUGGAAGGGUAAAGGCCUCCCAAGCCGACAAUCAAUAGCCAUGCUUGACAGAGCAAAUGGCCACAUUGGGAAUGAGAUCUCCCAAGUAGUUAACACUACCAGCAGUCAAGAAUAUUAGUCAAUGCUCGCAAGAGUGAACUAGCUAACUGAAAUCAUAUAUGUGUCAUAUGUGAUAAAGUAAGGGAAAAUAAUGAUAUUACCUUAUUAUUAGUGUUGUCCAAAACUGGUGCCAGAAGACUCGGUAAGGCCAGAGACGCGAACGUUAGUCGUCCUAAUCAGGCGUAAAGGGUUUGUAGGCUGCUUUAAAAGUUUUAUUUUUAAUAUAGCUAAAAUAAAGAUAAGAUCAAUUAAAGCUAGAAUCAAAUAGAGGGUAAACCAAAUAAUACUUAGAGUAGGGCCGAUAUCCAUAAAUACUAGGUGGAAUACUAAAGGUGAAAGCUUUUUAUCUACUAAUGAUUGACGCUGAGAAACGAAGGUGAGGAAAGGAAACAGGAUUAGAUACCCACAUACCCCUCUCUGUCAACGAUGAAUGGUGGCUUGCUAAUUGAAUAAAACAUUAAAAAUUUAAUGUAAUUAUAAUAAAAAAUUGGUAGCGAUGUUAACACGAUAACCAUUCCGCC
rnacentral:ncRNA from 1 species